CGUAAGGUCAGCUAAUUAAGCUUUUGGGCUCAUGCCCCAACAAUGUUGGUUUAAAUCCCCCCCUUACCA
rnacentral:tRNA from 1 species